GCGUCCAGAGCAGCUCUUGGCACGCUCCUUGCAGGAGGAUCACCUCGACUGAGCUGUUCUCAGAUUACAGCCAGUGUCCUUUUGUUUCUCUAUUUUCUUGCACAGUCCAUGGACUUGUGCAAGUGUCCGGUUUUCCCCUUUUUACUUGCACAGUCUCAGGACUUGUGCAAGUGUCCGGUUUUCCCCUUUUUACUUGCACAGUCUCAGGACUUGUGCAAGUGUGGGUUUUUUUUCCAUUUUUGUUUCCCGGCCUACGGACUCGAGCAGCACUGCUCAGAGGAUGGAGCGAGUCCGUAGAGCAGUCAGCAGCGCCUUUUCAUUGGUGGCUUCUCGGAAAGCUUUUCUUCAUUUGGCUGUUUUUUCCCUUGGGACAGCACAUUGGAACAAAAAGGGCAUAAAGAUGCCAUAUGUUUGGUAAAGCUCCUGUCAACAGCUUCAGCUGAAAAGGGGGUGUCUCUUGCCCAGAAGGGUGUGUAGGAACCUCCAAAAUGCAGACUGGGAGAGCUUUGCAGGCAUCCUUUAAAAAACCAUGCAGAUCUCUCCAGAACUGAGGAAAAGCAUCUUUGUUUCUGCAUUCCAUCCUUAAAGGAUGUGCCUGUCUAACUGGACCCCCUCUGUGUGCUCCAAGAGCCAUUGGCUCUGCGCUGCAGGGCAAAUUGCCGAGCACUUGGUGUGUGCUCCUGAAGCCCAGAGCUGGGCCUGUGCUGUGUCCCAACAGAACUGCAAGCGCUGAGAGGGGUUUGGUGGAAGCUUUUGUGGGAAUUGUUUACAGCAACCGCGUGGCACAUGCUGCAUGCAAUUUACAAAAAGAAAAAGCAAGUCCAGGAAAGAGAGGAAAAAAAAGCUGCUUUAGCUGUAGGCUGGACAAUGAGCUGCAAUGUAGGCACUGCCUGCUAAGGAACAAUUUGCAUCUUCAUGGCCAAGUUUCUAGUUCCUUAGUGGCAAAGCUGAACAAAAGCUCGCCUCAGAGGUGGAAGGAGUCAAGCGCGCACUUCGGUCCCGCUAGGAGAGGAUCUUGCCAGUCAGGACUCCUGGGCCCAGGCAGGAAAGGCGGAGCGGCAGGAGAGCACGGACAGAGUGCACAGUGCCCAGGAGUUCAGAAAAUACGAAGCCAUUGUCUCCUUGGAGCAACGCCAGCGCUACAAGGAUGACUUCAAUGCAGAGUAUGAGGGAUAUCAGAAUUUAUAUUUUAAGAUUGACAAGAUCAUCAAGAAAUUCAGACAAUUUCAGGAGCAAUGGAAGUCUCUGACUCCAGGCUCCAAAGCCUAUCAGGUAAAGAAGGAUGAAACCAUGAAGACUGUGCUUCAUCACAGUAGUGCUCUGGAUUCCCUGGAGCUGCUCAGUGAACAGAGGGAAACUGUGGAACUGGCAUAUAUGCUCAGACACUGCUUGGGCUGGGUCUGAUUUUUGCAAGACCCAGCCCAAAAGCCCUGGUUUGAGCUGUCAAUGAAGAAACAGUUGUCUAUGAGAGAUGUCCCAAGCAGAGUCUUAGAGCAUGGACUCCUUCUAUUGCCUAUUGAGAGGCUUAAUUACAGAUCUUGGGUGAUGCUGGGAGAUGGAGAUUUGUUUUGCAGAGCUCCCAGAAGAGUGGUGGCUCACAGACGGAAAAUCUCUAGAGUCAGUCUGAGUGUACUUUUAGUGUUUUACCAAAGUUUGCAUUUUAUGGUGGUAAUAAAACAUUCUUCAUGUUUUGUUUUUUUCUUUCUUAAAGAUUCUGCACCAUCGAAUCCUAGCAGAUUAUCAGCAUUUACAACAGGCACGUGUGACACCAGACCUGCAGGGCCAUGGCAACUGCUGAGUCUGCCUCAAGGCUUUUUUAAAGCAAAGGACAUCACCUUCCAAACUAGGCAGAAGCAUUUGCAUGCCCUGAUUUUCUUUUGCUUUCUCCCUCACAGGGUAGCCCCAGGGUAGUCUGAAAUGAGGAGCAGGUGCCAGUACCUCCACAAGAAGCUGGCCCAUAUUCAGAGUCGCAUUUCUGAAUUUGACCAGCAGUGAGUGGAGUACUGGCACCAGACAUCUGCUUCAACAGAGGAACAUCUUUGAACUCAGGAUUUUUUAUUUCAACUAGAAGAUUAGGUUUUUAGUAUUAUACAAAUUAGUAUAGAACAGUAGGUUAUUUUAGCACUUAGCAGUGGAUUAUGUCUUAUAAAUGUAGGAUUAGUUCAAAGAAGUUGAGUUAAUUUAAGAAGUUG